rnacentral:rRNA from 1 species
UACGAAGGGUGCUAGCGUUGUUCGGAAUCACUGGGCGUAAAGCGCACGUAGGCGGCUGUGUCAGUCAGGGGUGAAAUCCCGGAGCUCAACUUCGGAACUGCCUUUGAUACAGCACGUCUUGAGUCCGGAAGAGGUGGGUGGAAUUCCUAGUGUAGAGGUGAAAUUCGUAGAUAUUAGGAAGAACACCGGUGGCGAAGGCGGCCCACUGGUCCGGUACUGACGCUGAGGUGCGAAAGCGUGGGGAGCAAACAGG